AUUGAACGCUGGCGGCAGGCUUAACACAUGCAAGUCGAACGGUAACAGGGAGAAGCUUGCUUCUUUGCUGACGAGUGGCGGACGGGUGAGUAAUGCUUGGGGAUCUGGCUUAUGGAGGGGGAUAACUACUGGAGACGGUAGCUAAUACCGCGUAAUGUCUACGGACUAAAGGGUGGGACUUUCGGGCCACCUGCCAUAGGAUGAGCCCAAGUGAGAUUAGGUAGUUGGUGAGGUAAUGGCUCACCAAGCCGUCGGUCUCUAGCUGGUCUGAGAGGAUGACCAGCCACACUGGAACUGAGACACGGUCCAA
rnacentral:rRNA from 1 species